rnacentral:lncRNA from 1 species
GGUGAUCAGACCCGAUGGGCACCCUGGAUUAUACUGGGGGAACCCAUGGAUGAAGGGUUAUAGUGACUGCAUCCACUGGUGCUUGCCUGGCCCCAUUGAUACAUGGAAUGAGCUGUUGUUGGAGAUGAUCAAGAGAUAAAAAUUUUACCUGCAUUGAAAUUGUAAAUUUGUAUUUGUAUAAGAUCUAUCUCUCGUCCUUAUUUUUAUUAUUAUUAUUAUUAUUAUUAUUUUUUUUCGCAUAGAAGGAUAAACAUAUGCAUCUCCUUUCUACUUGAAACUCCAAUACUUUCUAGGCAAUUUUCCAUAAAACCUCAAGUGCAUGUUUGGUGCAGGGUACUAAAUUUUAUAAUGAACAUGACUUCUCCUAGUCAUCUAUCUACAGUGGGAAGUUUUAUCUUGUCCAUUUUAAAGAGAACAUUAUUUAUGGUUCUCACAUUUGGAGAGAAUUGUAAGUAAGGUUCUCAUGUCAUAUUAGCAAGUUGGCAAUCUUAUCUCGAACUCAUUAUGAUAUCCAAUCUUUUCUACAAAACAUGCUUCGAGAGAACCUUUGGAGUUGGACUUCCAAUACUGGAAAAGCACAAAAUUGAUCAUUCACAUUGUCAAUAUCAUUAAGGGCCUAUUUGACUAUUCCAUUUCUUGUAAAAGAGCUUCUUGAAAAUUUAUCUUUAAGUCUACUUCUUCUAAAAACUCUUUUAAUUAGACAAAAAAUACUUUAAAAAAUUUAUUCAAACAUGUAACAUGUUCGACAUCAAUUUCUUACUCUCAUAAAUAACUUUUAACUUCUUAAAAGUAGGACUGGACAUGGUUCGAUUCGGUUCGGUUCUAACGAGAACCGAACCGACUCGAAAUUUUCGGGUAUUUAGUAAGUGGAACCGUUGGGUCCAAAUUUAAGUACAGAACCGUUCGGAUUCAGUUCCAUUCGGUUCGGUUCGGUCCGGUUCGGUUCCGUAUUAUAAUUAAAUUUUUUAAUAUAUACAAAGUUACGUUAAUUUAAUUAAUGAUAUAUUUAAUAUUAGCUCUUACAAAAUAACGUAAUUCAAUCUUAUGUGUUUCACGUCUCUCUUUGCUGAAUUCUUCAUAAAUUUGAUUAUUAAAAUUACAGAAAGAGAAAGAUAGCGAGCUCAAAAUAAUUAAGAGAAAUGUUGUAGAGUUUUAAUUCAAUUUUUUCCGGUAGAAACGACACUACAGUAGAAUAACAAAUUUGGAUAAAAUUGAGGUCAAUUUGAUUAAGUCGAUUUUGAACUGAAUAUUAGAAAUAGGAAAAUCAUAUUUUGUAGUUUGAACUAAAUUAACUAGUUAAUAAAUUUAUUUAGAAAAAAUAAAAUAAUUUUACUUAUUUAAAAUAAAUUAAUUUAAAAAAUUACGGAGAUUCGGUUCUUAUUCGAUUUUUCGGGUCUUGGCCUAGAACCGAGAACCGAACCAUACCCGUCAGUUCUUGAUUCAAAUACCCGUUCGGAUAUUUAAUUACAGAAAUUAUGGUGAUCAGACCCGAUGGGCACCCUGGAUUAUACUGGGGGAACCCAUGGAUGAAGGGUUAUAGUGACUGCAUCCACUGGUGCUUGCCUGGCCCCAUUGAUACAUGGAAUGAGCUGUUGUUGGAGAUGAUCAAGAGAUAAAAAUUUUACCUGCAUUGAAAUUGUAAAUUUGUAUUUGUAUAAGAUCUAUCUCUCGUCCUUAUUUUUAUUAUUAUUUUUUUUUUUUUUCGCAUAGAAGGAUAAACAUAUGCAUCUCCUUUCUACUUGAAACUCCAAUACUUUCUAGGCAAUUUUCCAUAAAACCUCAAGUGCAUGUUUGGUGCAGGGUACUAAAUUUUAUAAUGAACAUGACUUCUCCUAG